rnacentral:tRNA from 1 species
GGGGUUGUGGCGAAAUCGGCAUACGCACGAUACUUAAAAUAUCGCGCCCAAAAGGCAUGUGGGUUCGAGUCCCACCAGCCCCACAA